UCGGAACUCAUUCCGAACAAAUUAUGGGUCGAAUCAGAAUGACAGAACGUACCUGCCCCCUUCUAGCUGUGCAUUUUCCUUGACCAGUUUUUCUUGCAUGUUCAAUGAUUCGUUCAAUUUUCCAGUUAAAUUUUGGAAACACUUCUUUUUGCCCGUCCGCUCGCUGUCCGCAACUACGAUUUUUGGAAUAUUCUCUUCCGUGUUACCGCAGACGAUCACCCUCGGUAGCCUGGAGGAUUAUUCGGCGUGUGUAAAACACUCGAAUAAUCUAGUGAAAGCCGUACCGAAACACGUUUCCCAUGGGGAUAUGGGAGCAUUUCAAACAUUUUGGCAAAAGUUUGACUCGAGGGAUCGGCCAGACCCAACUGUCGUUGCAAUUUUCUAGUUAUUUUUUCAAACUCUCCCAGCUUGGACAUAACGCUUUCUUGCUUUUCCUUUAUUUUCAACGUGUCCUCCUCCGUCAGAUCUUGUUUCUUGGGACAAAAAGAGAUAUUUUUAGACCCUGCACCGCCAUGGAACAUUCAAGUCGACUCGGGAUUUACAUUGUCAUGACUGCGGUGUCGGUCAGAGGUAUGGAACUCAUGAUGGACUCCCGAUGACCUCCUGAUUUCAACGGCACUCCUGUGUAAUGAAAGGGAAAGAUGCAUGGGCGAGUCAUAAAUCUCUAGUACGAUAAAACAGGGGUAAUCAGAGUGAAUACCUUCCCCCAUCCCUGGUGGCAUGGAAUGAGGCGGAGGUCCAUUUUCGUCAUCUUCG
rnacentral:misc_RNA from 1 species